AAGAACACCAACAAGAGCGCCAAAUUAGACAAUCUAUCUUCAUGUUCAAGCUCACAAGUGGUUUCAGAAAUCAUGUCAGAGAAGAAGAAAAUACCUCUAUCUCAUUCACAAGAUCAAGAACCAGAUAAACAAGAAGAAUCUACAGGAAAGAAGCAGGCAUUUGGGGAUUCUGACGCUAUGGAAGAAAAUCAACAGAAGGAAAUAUUGGAGG